AUGAACGCUGGCGGCGUGCUUAACACAUGCAAGUCGAGCGAGAAAGUUCCUUCGGGAAUUAGUAAAGCGGCAGACGGGUGAGUAAUACAUGGGAAUCUGCCUUUAAGUGAAGGAUACCUUUGAGAAAUCAAAGUUAAUACUGCAUAUCUCCUCCGGGAGAAAGAUGGCUUUUAUGCUGUCGCUUAGAGAUGAGCCCAUGCGCUAUUAGCUUGUUGGUGAGGUAAAGGCUUACCAAGGCGAUGAUGGCUAGCCGGCCUGAGAGGGUGAACGGCCACACUGGAACUGAGACACGGUCCAGACUCCUACGGGAGGCAGCAGUGAGGAAUAUUGCACAAUGGGCGAAAGCCUGAUGCAGCGACGCCGCGUGGAGGAUGAAGGUUUUCGGAUCGUAAACUCCUGUUAAGUGAAAAGAAAGAACUACUUUUAAUAGAAGUAGGUGAUGACGUUAUCACUAGAGAAAGCACCGGCUAACUUCGU
rnacentral:rRNA from 1 species